AGAACGAACGCUGGCGGCAUGCCUAAUACAUGCAAGUCGAACGAACACUUCGGUGUUAGUGGCGCACGGGUGCGUAACGCGUGGGAAUCUGCCCUUGGGUUCGGAAUAACAGUUGGAAACGACUGCUAAUACCGGAUGAUAUCGAAAGAUCAAAGAUUUAUCGCCCAGGGAUGAGCCCGCGUAGGUAUUAGCUAGUUGGUGAGGUAAAGGCUCACCGAAGGCGACGAUCCUUAGCUGGUCUGAGAGGAUGACUCACGACCACACGUGGGACUGAGACACCGGCCAGACCUCCGACGGGAGCAGCAGGUAAGGAAUAGUAGGACAAGUGGGCG
rnacentral:rRNA from 1 species